CAGACUUUAAACAGAUUGGCAUGUUGGUUCUUGGUCGAUGAUGUUAUUCCUCACUUUGCCUUUUAUUUCUUCAGAGAGCUGGAGCCAUUGGAGCAACGAUUGAGAUUUUGACACUUGACACUUCAUUUUCUUCAGGAUACUUAGCGUGACUAUCGUUUUGUAAAUGCCCUUGAUUUACAUCCCUUUUGACAUGGAAAAGAAGGAAACAUGAGGACGUGGAGGCCGUGGGGAAUGAGGAAGAGGAGAACAGAAGGCAAGCCAGCACUCUGCAGAGCUGUCAGAAUCUACUAUGAAUGAGGAGAGAGAAGAGGGGGGUCACACCUCUAAAAUCAAUGUGUCUGGAGAACAUGGCCGCCAGGGCCAAACUAAGAGCCCAGAGCAGCACGUGAGACCAGCCUCACCUGUACCCAGCUGCGUCUCCAUGAAGAGUGAGAGAUCUAUUAAUUUUCCUCCCAACUUGCAAGACAGACGCCCCUCCAGUGAAAAGAAACAGGAGGAGGAGGAGGCCGUGCGGAGUGAGGAAGAGGAGCCCAGGAGGCUUGCCAUCGCUCUGCAGAACUGUGGAGACUCCUUGUUUGAAACUACACUGAACAAUGCCUGUCUCGAAUCUGCUAUGAAUGAGGAGAGAGAAGAGGGGGGUCAUACCUCUAAAAUCAAUGUGUCUGGAGAACAUGGUAGCCAGGGCCAAACUGAGAGCCAAGAGCAGCAUGUGAGCACAGCCUCACCUGUACCCAGCUGCGUCUCCAUGACAAGUGAGAGAUCUAUUAAUUUACCUCCCAACUUGCAAGACAGACGCCCCUCCAGUGAAAAGUAUGUAUUCCAAAGCUGCUGAA